CGUCCGUCGAUUCCAUCUCCUUCCUCUCUCUUCGCAAAUAUAUAUAGAGAACCAGAUCGUUUGCUCAAAUAUUCGCUGGUGUUUGUUGGGGAUGAGUUCUCGUCUCCAUCUUUAACUUCUUUGAUUCUUUCUGACUUGCACGUAUGGAUUUAUUUGUUGGCUGAAGGUCUUUUAUCUGAGUGAUGGGAGUGAUCUUGUUUGUCUUUCAGUAUGAUCAUCGGAUUUGUGUGUAAAACAUGUUCGAAAUAACGUUUUUCUUGGGGUUUAUGCUUUUGCGUUUCGAAUGAUGUUGUCGUUGGUCUUCUUGGUAUAAUCCGUGGAUAUCUGUGGGGAAUUGAUAUGUUUGGUGUCCGAAAAUGUGGUUCUUUGCUCAGCGGUUGUGUCUCUGCCUAGUAAAUAUGUGUUUUACUUGAAAUGAAAUUUAAGGGACUUUUCUUGGGUUUGGGUUUUCUGUUUGGAAUGCUUGGCUGAUGAUGAUAGCUUUAGGCAUGAGCCCCAACAACAUCUGCGCUCCAGGAUCGUUGAUGCCUGGGUUGUUGUUCGCAAGGAUGAAUGUGCCAAAAUGCUAAUCUGAGGUCUUAUUGUUCGAAUGUAUAGGAUUCAGAAAUUUCUCCAUUUUUUAAUCUAUCUUUUCAAUUAUAUAGCCAGGGUAAGUGUUGCUGAUGAUGGUAGAUAUAGGCAUGAGCCUCAACAACAUCUGCGCUCCAGGAUUAUUAUUUGCCUGGGUUGUGUCAAGGAUUAAGCAAAUUCAUUGUUUUUACACUUGUUUUGAACUCUGUGGCGAGGAAUAGAAUGUAGAAGAUGUCACUGAAUCCUCCGAACAAUAAAUGCUAAAAUACAAUAUGUAUAUAAUGGAUAUCAUCAUCUUGUUGUGUAACAGUGAAAAUUAGUCAUGUCUGUUUCUGCAACAUUUUGUGAAAAAAAAUGAGUCAUACUUUAUUUAACAAAAUAUGCCUAACUAGUUUGGUUUCAGACACUUUCAGAUAAUGCUAAGAUAUAGUCUUACAAGGUUUACACAUUAACCAGAAAGAAUUCUGUAGAUACUCAUGGUGUUGAAAGCUAGACGAACUGAUUUAAAGCCAUUAUAGCAUUUGAACAAUACUGAGUUAUAGAUUAGAUUUUGAAUGGCUUACUCAGUAAUAGAUCUUUUUUUGUUUUUAAUAAAUAUCUUCUCACCAUAUCUUUUUAUGUGAAAUCAUAAAUAUGUAGGAGCUCAUGAUGAGCAUGAUGCUUAUUUUGCCUGGGAGAGUAUUUAUCAAUUUUCCAAGUUUUUUUCUAUCAUUUUUUGCAAUAUGCCUUGGAUGUAUUCUGCAGCUGCAAGAUAGCUGUAAGAAUUUAUGCAUUGAAUUCAGAAAAAAGAAGUGUCGUGGAUAGCUGAAGUAAACUCAUAGCUGAACUGUCAAAGAGCAUAUGCUGCAGUGCGACAAUUUACCUGGGAAUUUUAAGCGUAUAAGAUGACAUUGGAUAUUCAAACAAUGAGCAUGAAAUUUCAGUAUAUCUUCAACGCAUAUGACUUUUAUAUUUUGGCAUAUGUGACCUAAUUAUAAUUGUAUAGAAAAAGAUAAAACAGUAUUCAAUUUUAGCAUAUGUGAACUAGUCAAAUCUUUGUCAGCUGAUAUGAUAUUAAGAUUUCAUUUUUAUAAAGUUCCUUGGGAAAGAAGAUACAAUUGUCCGAAUUCUUGAAGAAUCCUGACUUCUCCUUUUGGUUCCUGCCUUUUACUGUUAGGUUGGAUAUGUGGUUAUCUGGGACUAGAACUGCAUUGUUAGGUGGAUACAGGAAGUAUGCUUAAUCUAAUAAUGUAUCAUAUUUUGUGUAAUUUGAAAUUUUGGUUUAUUCUUUAUUUUAACAUGUAAAGCAUAUUAGAAAAGUUUAUAUUUCAUUUUAUUGUUCCUCUUGCAGUUGAUUUUUAAAAGUGUAUUAUAACCUAAUAUGCGUACUAAGGCAUGCUAUUUUUUGCUCAUUGUGAGCUAUGUGGAAGAGUGGUUGAAGACCAGCAGUUUACAAGUGAAUGGUAGGUUUUAUUUGCAAAUGUUAGGUUUGCAUUCUUACCAUAUGGUCGUAGUUUGUAAGAAGGAUUGAUCACAUGGGACCUGGUGGACCUCCUGGCCCAGGCCCAGGCCCAGGUUGGGGUCCUGGACCUGGGGGCCCUGGGCCUUGUGGCCCUUGCUGCGAUUUACUCUCUUCAUGUUUUUCCUUCCUCUGCUGCUGCUGGUUGCUUCGAGACUGCUGUGGCCCGCUAUUUGGCCGACCUCCUGGCCCUCCCGGACCACCCUUUUAAUAUGCAGUUGGACUAAAUGGAGUCCUAGUAAUAAUGGGGGGGUAUCAGUAAACGGCUCCUCGGAAUCAGUCGGUGUUUUUGUGUACUAAAAUGAUCCUUUCACGCCAGUAUAUUAUUGCUUCUGUUGUUUGGUAAUGGAGGUUGAUGAGGUCUUUCUUGUCGAGGAAUUGGUAAUGGAUGAUGCAGUUAUCUUCGUUGAAUCAAUGGAUAUUGUUGGCAUUGUGUAAUAAUAUGCGCUGUGCUUUGACUUCA